UCCAAGUCAUUUCCAUCCGGCCAUUCGUCAAUCAGUUUCUUCGAAGCAAUUUUCAUGAUAUGGUAUCUACAGAGACGAAUGCCACGCAUUCGCAGCCAAUUUCUGUUGCUGUUGCUGCAAGUGUUGCUUUUGUUCUGGGCGUGCGUGUGCUCCGUGUCGCGUAUAACAGAUCAUCGACAUCAUUGGUGGGAUGUGUUGGCCGGAUCAGCAUUGGAGUUUUUUUCGCUGUAAUGACGUGCAUUUUCCUGUGUAGAGACUUCAAGCGAAAAUCACGCGCUCAGGAAGUUAUUCUUAACGGUAAUGGUGACGCACGGCACACAAGCGUACGGCGAUUGCUGUCGGAUAACAGUGUCAAGGAUGAAGUUACUAUGAAUCAUGUAGUCGUAACCUGAUUCCUGAGUUAUUUAAGUAUUUGAACUUUUCUACUUAUUUAGUCAAAAUGAAUGGGAGAGAGAGAGAGAGAGAGAGAAUGUAGAUUUUUGUGUGGAUGGGUGAGUGUGAGAGGCAGUGAAUGUGCGAUUAAGAUUUAAUUUAUUUAUAACUCAGAGAAAUGCUAGGUUCCCAGCACUGCAAGCGAUAGAACA